ACUUGGUCCUUGUGUUUACAUGAUGGGAAGUGAUGUAAAAAAAAAGGUUAAUGGGCAGGACAAUAGGGAGGAACUAAGUCACAAUGAGAAGGGAAAAUUCUAGAAUUAUUAUAUGAAUAGUUGGCAAACACAGAGAAAUAAAAGUAGGGACCAGAAAGAUCCAUGGCUCCAUCAAGAACAGAUCAUACCAGAUGAACUUACUUACCUUUUUCCACAGGGAUCCUAAAAUGGUUUACUUACCUAUAUUUUGGCAAAACAUUUUGUAAAGUCACUCAUGCUAUUUUGUAGACAAGAUGUAAAAAUGUGGACAAUAACUUGUGUAAUUAGAUGGACUGAGAACUAGUUGAAUGUCCAGAUCCUCCAAAACUAGUCAUAAAUGAUUCUAUAUCAAAUUAAAGAAUGUUUCUUCUAGAAAACCCCAGGAAUCUAUAGAUUAAAAAAUAUUUGGGCUUCAAUUCUCAGACCAAAUUUUAAAAUUGAAACUGACAAGAUGGACCGCUUCUAGAAGAGAAUCUGAUUGGUGAAAAGCCUGAGAUCAUGGUAUGUAAGGAUCAGGUGAAGGAAUGAGCAUGUUUGACUGGAGAAGAGAUCUUAGGGAGACAAUUCAGCUUUUUUUUACAUAGAGUAAUUUGACUUCUACCCAGUCUAAAGGUCAAGUGGAACAAGUCUAAUGUUUCCUCCAUGUGACAAUUCAAGUCUUGAAGACAACUGUCAUGGCUCCUGAAUCUUUUAUAUGCUCACUACACCUCCAGGGCCUUCAACCACUCAAUCAGCAGGGGACAAAAAGGAGGCAGGAUUAUGAUUAUCAACAUUCUGGGGGACACUUACUUAUAUUAUAACACUGCCUCCAAAGGUACAGAUUCAGUCUUUGGCACACCCAGUCUUCAAUAGUGCCUUCACCAAUAUCUUUGUCGCCGUGGACAAAACAACAAUACCUUAUCAUCUUUUUCUUUUUCCUUAUAUAUUUUGGCAGUUUGUUCCAAUUACUUAAUUUAUCUCCCAAGGGACUAUCUACCGGUAUUUUCUGAUCAUUUUUCUCAUUUCUCUCCGCUAGGGCUGGCUGGGACUGGGCCACACCCAUUGAAUUUGGACAAAAUCUAAAUUCCAAAAUGCCCAAACACACCAAUUGUCGCCAAUUGACUCCAGUCACCCUAGAAGGCCUAGCCAAGUCUAUCCUGUCCAGAGACCCAGAGGUUAAGACGUCAGGCCUCACAGGGUCCUGUCCAGAGACCCCUCCAGAGUUUAUGACUCAAGGGUCUCACAGGGGGCUUAUCUCCUGUCCAGAGACCCAGAGUUUAAGACUCAAGGGCCUCACAGGGGACUUACCUCUGGGUUGUUGCGCAACAAAUUGCUUGACUACAACCUGUCCUCCUCCAAACCGGUCGGGAUUUUUACCACGGAGUUUCUCCUCCUUUUGCUUUGCUCUGAGUUUCUCCACUUCGGGCCCACUCUACCUUGGGGAGUAAGAAGAAGCCCUGGACACUGGCGGGCUGCCUAAGUCAGGGCAGGGCGCCACCCUGCCAGCACCUCAAGGAUUCACCUACUCACCAUAAGUAGUGUGAUCCGGACUAGCCCCCAAAACUGUGUGGUUCAGAAAUGGUGAGGGAUCACCAUUUAAUAAAAAAAAGCUGGAGAGAGCUCUAGAAACAAAGCAAAGUUUAUUAUACAUUCUCGGGAGAAGGGAGACCCACUCAUCAAAGGGAGGAAGCACCAUAG